AUGGGGAACUGCCAGGCGGCGGACGCGGCGGCCGUGGUGAUCCAGCACCCGGGCGACGGCAAGGUGGAGCGCCUCCACUGGCCGGCCACCGCGGCGGACGUCAUGCGCAGGAACCCCGGCCACUACGUCGCCCUCGUCGUCCUCCAUCACGUCUCUGGCGGCGGCGUUGACCCCGACCCCGCCGUCGCCGGAGAAGGAGCAGGUGCCAGGAUAACCAAGGUGAAGCUCCUCAAGCCCCGGGACACGCUCCACCUCGGCCAGGUCUACCGCCUCAUCACCUCCCAAGAGGUGACCAAGGCCGUGCAGACGAGGAGGCAGGAGAGGACGCGCGGCUUCGACGAGGCGACCGAGCAGGAGCGGCCGCGGCUGCACCGGCGGCGGCAACCGCCGAGGCCGAGGAGCGACAACGCAGCCACGGAAACCAACGGAGAACAGAGGCAGCCCGCCGAUCAUCAGGAACGGAAGCGGCUGGAGAAGGACCGGCACCACCGGAGCAUCGCGGCCGCCCGCGGCAGAGGCCGCCACUGGCGGCCGGCGCUGCAGAGCAUCAUAGAGUCGUCGUCGUCGUCGGGCGGACACGCCGACUGCGAGGAUAUACUAUCUAAAUGA
rnacentral:rRNA from 1 species